AUUUCGUCUGGGCGUCCUUGUCAGCGCUGUCGCCUUUGCUGGAGUCAUUGUCUUGCUUGGAGGCAUCGUUUGUAAACUGCGCCUUCUUACCCGCAUGCUGUUCCCUUCUCUGCAAGUCGGUCGCCGUUCUCACAGCGUCCGUUUCCGGGGCUGCAGCGGUCUUCCGCAGGAGAUGACGACUUGGUUUGCCGUCCUUGGGUCGCCUUAUUUCACGCUCUCUCUCGUUACCCUGGCUCGCCUGUUGGGUUGUUCGGACACUGAAGUCCUCCGCGCCCUCUCGCGGGCCGCCUGGUGCUCGUGCCGUCGACGCCUUGGACACUGAAGGCACAACCUGGAAACGAUCGAGCGUCUUUGUCGGUUUCUUUCGUUUAUCUUUCUGCCUCUGUUUCGCCGUUUUGUUUUGCUCCCUUUCAGGCAAGUCAGUGGCUUCAAUCGGGUUGUCACCAUCCGCGGGGGCCCCAGAGUUCUGUGCCGUCGCGGAGGGACUUCCAGGCAGGCGCGAGCGAGUGCGGCGCUCUCGGUCUUGCUCUCUUCCGUCCCCUUCGGUCCUCUCAAUGCCUGAUCGCAAGAGGACAGCAGGAGCCUUGCUAGGAGGCGCAUGUCGUCGGUGUUUUCCUCACUCGCACCCUGCCUGCGGCCAGGAUCCCUCCGUCUGCGGGAGUCUUCCUCUUCGUGUGCCGGCGUCCUGCUCUCUUCACCGUCAACUCGUCUGCUGGCCUUGGCACCACCUUGCAUCGGACCGCUGUCCAGAGACGUGACCGGGCUAUCGAGGAGUCCCUGCCUCUUGAAUUUCCUUGCCGAUGGAUCUGCGUGAAUUGCGUGAAGGAGACUAAAAUCGAGGGCGCUUGAGCCGUCCUCGUGCUGCACCAUAUCCACGUACGGCGGGCAGUACAAGCCAAGAAGUUUAUCAACACGCUGGUAGAGAGUAAUGUCUGAAAACAGCUGAUCGAGGCCUGGGACUCCCGACUGCUGGAACGCAUCCUUCUGUAUCUCGAAAUAUUCCACGAGACUAUGAAAGGCAUCUGAAACCUCCUGGGUCAGAUACAUGCCGACUGAUUCUGCGUCUCUCCGAUAGAUUCCGGUCGAAAGCCGCUCUGCGUACAUCUCCAGGAGAUAUCGAAACUUACGUGCCAGAAUCCCCACCUUGAACACGGCCUCUCCAUUCUUGGGCACUCCCAGACGCCUCAAAGCGAAGCCCAGGCCAGCAAGAGCAGGGACAAAGCUCGAGAAUGGCCGCCCAUCAUCUGUAUCCGACAACGCGGCAAGAGUCUCCGUGAGUUCUGCGUCUUGCUCGGCAACUCCAAGCAAAUUUUGCUGCUGAGACUCGUCGGAAAGCGCAGAAAGGAAGGCCACAAAACAGUGAGUCCCUGGAGCAGAGGUACUUUUAAGUGGACCCAUUCGAAAUUUGGCAACUCGAGGCUGUUGCUCGGAGUGGGGCGUUUGUGCACUGCCUUUUUCAACCUGCGUUCGCAGCUGGCCACUAUCCUGAUCGGGCGUCUCGCCAGUAACAGCGUGGGGACGUGGAACGCUGUCACCUUCGCGUUCAGUGCGCUGGUGACGUUCCGUGACGGCUCCAGAGUCGGGUUCUUCUUGAGGAAGAAUACUCGGCUGAGUCUGGUGCGUCUGGGAAUCACGUGGAGAGGCCAAAUGCUCAUUUUCCCCCUGCUGGGAAGGUCCAGGCCCGAAAAGCCCGCUACCCCGUGGAACGUCACCUUCGUCAAGUUCCGGCGGAAGGGGGUUUGACGAGGAUAAUUCUCGCAGCACUUUUGCCGCCUUCUCAGCUUGGUCCCUCAGAAAGGGCUGAAGAGGAGACGCCCUCACAGGAAAAGAAGCUGGGUACUUCCCGUCAACACCUGGCAGAUCCGUGGAAGGGAUGGGCUCUCCGUCGCCAAACGUGGACAGGCGAGGCGGCUCCUCCGAGAGCACGCCACGAUAUGUGCCGAUCGGGGCGUCUGUAUUUGUCAGCCAAGUGGAACCGCUGACCGGUGCUUGGGCCGCUUCAGUGAAAGCGGGAGACGAAAAAAGCGGAUAUGCAUGUUCGGUGAGCGGGGAUGGAAUCGCCGCAGAGGGCGAACUUGGCCGCAGAGACGAAAGGUCUGCCGGAACGUGGCUGGCAGGCAAUUUUGGGAACUCGUCUCGCGGCUUCAGCUCGUACUCUCCGCUUUCUCUCGUGUCGCGUGGAUGCCAAAAAGCAGGCUUCCCCUCAAGGUCCGGAGGUGACAGUCGGGGUUCACCGUAGUUGUUCUCGCUGUCUCUAGCGAGAAGAGCCAGCAGAGCGUCGGCGGAACCGCCGAUGUGUCCCGCGAGGAUCGGACUCGCGCCGCCUUGUGCAUGCGGGUCUGGAGAAAAACUGCCUCCGCCUGCGUUUCCAGGGGUUUGCUGGAAAGAAAAAGGCAGAGUAUUGGGGGAUGUGGAAUCCCGAGAACCUACAGCGAAAUUCUGGCCGAAUAGAUCUGAGGUCAAAGGCGUUCGACGAGCGGCCUCGUCUUCAACGUUCGGUUUGAACAACGCCUCCAUAGACGCCUUUGCCUUGUUCCACGAAGUCCGGAACGGUCCUGUUGUGUCUUGCUUUGCUCCUCUUUCAUCCGUUUCACGUUGCCCGACGGCCGUUCUUCCUCCUGUCUCGUCGCCAUCGGCCAACCCGAAAACAGGAAACGAUGUUGACAGUUGCUCGGAUAUGGUUUUCAACUUGGAAGGGCUCGGCCCUGGCUCGCCGCCCCGGCGAAUAAGAUCACCCUGCGGACCCCCAUAGUUUUUGCUGUGCGACCCAUCGUGCAGCGGUGGCUGCCAAUCGAGUCCGUCGGUGUGAACUGCUCUCCGCUUGGCGAUUGAGCGCGAGCCUCGAGAGAAACUGUCAGCAUUGUCCGGGAAAUUCGCAUCAACUCUGUCGUGGGGGCGCCGGCUCAGCAGAGGCGUGUUUUCAGUCUGUUUUUCCGAAAGCCGAGGAGACUCCUCAGCAACGGAUCCUCUGCGAACUCUCGAGUGCUUCCUUGAUUUCCGGAAACUGCCUUCUCGCAAUUUCUUCGUCCGCAGAGCCUUCUGGUUUCCUGUCGCACUGUACGGCGCACCAUCUCUACCGGGCUUUCGGGAGUGGACAAGGUGUUCUCCCCCCUUUUCAAAACCUACAGAUCGUUCUUCAACAGAAGGAGCGGAAGACCGAUCUCUCGCCUCGAGCCGCGUGGGCGAAGAGGGACUCGAAAAAAAAUCUCUAGAAGGUCCAUGUCGCUGCUUCCGCACUCCACGCGAACUCGCGCUGGCAGAAUCGUUUGAUGGGGCGGACUGUGUUCCUGUCGGGCCCGCAAACGCCGCCAACGAAGGGAUCGGCGUGUACAAGAAGGCAAGAAUCAGUAGGAAAACGGCGGUCUUACGCGGUGGAGAAGGCAGAUACGAGGAAAGAAACGGGUCUGAUGGCGACAAUGAGAGUGUUACAGGGGGCCUCCCCCCCGCCAUGGCGCCGAAGUGGCCCGGACACCGCCGGGGUGAAGGCCGGAGAAAUUGAAGCACACGAGAGAGAGGGUCUUCCUUCCUACUUGACAAAAGGAUUGCAAAAAUCCCCCUUAAAACCGGCAGGCGACCGCGAGGGAGUAUAUGAGCGACACUUGAAGCGGACAAUUGGAAUAGUCGGCCACAUGACAAAACACCGGGGAAAACCCUACCCCGACUCACCCGACAUCGUGCUUACAUGAAGCGAGGAGAGGGAAUCACCCGCCACAGGGUAUAUACUGACCGUCGUGGAAGACAACUUGUGGGAAUCACCACAGAAAGAUGCAAAAAAGAAUCCACUCGCCUUGACGCAAAAACGGAGAGCAAACGGACGCGCCACACACAGGCUUCCGUCGGCGGGUGAUGCGCGAUAUACACCAGUCGAUACUGGACGGCGUAGAUACUUUGGAGGCGGCCCGGAGUAUCCUCGCUUCCCCCCAGUUUCCCUACUCUGCGUUCAUGUUCGGCGCGAGAAAAAUCGUGUACGUUCAGUUGUUCAUCUCGCUUUUUUCCGUCAAGAAGAAGCCGCAGAGAGUCGGUCUCCUCACAUCACCAGGCAUCGGAUUCUCGAACAAACGUGUGCGCGGGAACGACGCGCAUGCCUCUGCCGGUUGUUCUCAACGGGCGCGCCGUGAUGGUUCACUUUCCUGCUCCCUUGAACCCUUCCGGACCAGGCGCCACCCGGUAUUUUAUUGCUGGCGCAAGGUUCCGUUCCUGUACAGCCCGGAACCGCGGACAAGGCCAUUGCUGCUCACUUUUUAGCCACGAACGGAAAAACGCAUCUAAAGGGUUGAAAAGUGCGGGCAGUAGGGGGAAUGUUUGUUUGAUCCAGUCGUGAUUUCUGAGCUCUGGGUAGAUUUAGAAGCAGCUGAGCUUCGGUUCAGAGGAGUGCGCCCCCAGAACUCUGCCCCAAAUCCGCCCACCGAGUGCUCUACACUGCACAGAUUAGAAAAGAGGGAGGAGAAGGGACGAACCCGUCCGAAAACUGCGAAAGAGAGAGCAGCAACUGUGGCAUUGGGGUCCGUUGUCGAAUCAAAAUUUCCCUUCAAUAUCGCGUGAGUGGCUGAGUGUGUCAGGGGCCCUCUAAUGAAGCCGUCGGGCCAGUACGAACCGGCGCGUGGUAGGGCCAAACAUGCCUUGAAUCACAUGUUGACAUGACAACCUACAGAACGGCGGCACCAAUUACAAGGCUACACGUCCGACAGAAGGGGUACGCUUUGUGCCAUCGGGUCUCGAAGAAAUGCGGACAAGCGAGCAGUGCAUCCGUGGAGUUCUGGGGAAAAUGCGGGGGCCUACUCGAUUCAGCAGCAACCAGACAGGGAUCUACGGGGUGCUAGAGAGAGAGGCGUGGCAAGCCCGUUCAUCGGCAGCCGUACAAUCGAAAAAAGGCACUCAAGGAAUCUCUGAAGCACACGUGGUUGACGAGUCCUCUCAACCUGGACGAACUCGAAUUGCAUUUAGGGGGUCAUGACUUAGGUCAGGUGACUUGCUGUUUGCCUGGACAUCGGAAAACUGUGGUUCGCUUUACACGGUUUCGGGUGUGAGAAGUCAAAUCCCAAACGUCACUGAUUUCACCCAAACAAAUAGCCACAUCCAGCUGAGCAAGUGCUUUUGCUGCUUCGCAGUGGUUUGUGUUUCUCUCGACAACUCGAUUCCGUGCAGAUGGCAGAAAUGAUGGGCCCUCGGCUGAUCUGCCGUCGUCUACGCCCGUAGUGCCCAACGUAAGUGAGCGCCU
rnacentral:lncRNA from 1 species